rnacentral:lncRNA from 1 species
GUGUUGAGAGUGAAGCUUUCAAGGAUCCAGGAGGCUGACAUUUUGGUCACGAGAAGUCUCACGCUCUCAUUAACAGAGGAGUGUGGCCUUAUGCUACUUGAACAAUGUCAAAUCCCCGAAGCCUGAGGAUUUUAAGAUGGUGAUGGACAGGAAUUCAACAACAUGCAAGGCAUGGUUCCCUAAGAGUUUGAUUAGAAAACUACAUAUAAGAAGACAACGCCAAAGAGCAGAAUACAAGCUCAGAGGUUCCUUUCAUAUCUUCCUGGUUAUUUCUUCCCCUGCCAUGCUAAUUUUCAAUUAUUCACAUCACAAUUUGAGUCAGGUGCCAAUGAAUUUAUAUGUAGGUAUAUAUUUUAUUUUAUAUGCAUUACAUAUUGGUUGCUCUGAAAGUAAUGCUUCCUGUUUAUUUCCAUGGAAGCUACACCAGCUACAAAGAGCACAAGAACUGUUUGGCAGGGCAAAUUCUCAAUAA